ensembl:miRNA
UUAAGUUUGUGCAAAAGUAAUUGUGGUUUUUGCCAUUGUUUAAAUUAAUUGCAAAAACCACAAUUACUUUUGCACCAACCUAAUAA